GAUUUCUGGCAUUGUGGGAUAGGUCCGAGCCUUCAUUUUGGGGGUUUUCGUGUGCUUGUUUCUACUUGCCAUCCUUUCCAGGUUUCCGUUUUUUCUGAGGGGCGCCUUCAUGCUCGAAAGGGUGUGGGAGCGUUUUUCGAAUUAAACGUCUGGAUCUUUUACUUUGAAAAAAUUAGAGUGUUUAAAGCAGGCUUACGCUAUGAAUACAUUAGCAUGGAAUAAUAAUUUAGGACUUUUGUCCUUUUGUUGGUUUUCCAGGAUGAAAGUAAUGAUUGAUAGGGAUAGUUGGGGGUGCUAGUAUUUCGUCAACAGAGGUGAAAUUCUUGGACCGACGAAAGACUAACUUAUGCGAAAGCAUU
rnacentral:rRNA from 1 species